rnacentral:rRNA from 1 species
GGUUAAGCGACUAAGCGUACACGGUGGAUGCCCUGGCAGUCAGAGGCGAUGAAGGACGUGCUAAUCUGCGAAAAGCGCCGGCGAGGUGAUAUGAACCCUUGACCCGGCGAUGUCCGAAUGGGGAAACCCAGUGCAAUUCGUUGCACUAUCGUUAACUGAAUACAUAGGUUAACGAGGCGAACCGGGGGAACUGAAACAUCUAAGUACCCCGAGGAAAAGAAAUCAACCGAGAUUCCCCCAGUAGCGGCGAGCGAACGGGGAGCAGCCCAGAGUCUGAAUCAGCUUGUGUGUUAGUGGAAGCGUCUGGAAAGUCGCACGGUACAGGGUGAAAGUCCCGUACACGAAAAUGCACAGGUUGUGAACUCGAAGAGUAGGGCGGGACACGUGGUAUCCUGUCUGAAUAUGGGGGGACCAUCCUCCAAGGCUAAAUACUCCUGACUGACCGAUAGUGAACCAGUACCGUGAGGGAAAGGCGAAAAGAACCCCGGCGAGGGGAGUGAAAAAGAACCUGAAACCGUGUACGUACAAGCAGUGGG